rnacentral:rRNA from 1 species
CCUACGGGUGGCAGCAGUGGGGGAUAUUGGACAAUGGGGGAAACCCUGAUCCAGCGACGCCGCGUGAGUGAAGAAGUAUCUAGGUAUGUAAAGCUCUGUCAGCAGGGAAGAAAGAAAUGACGGUACCUGACCAAGAAGCCCCGGCUAACUACGUGCCAGCAGCCGCGGCAAUACGUAGGGGGCAAGCGUUAUCCGGAAUUACUGGGUGUAAAGGGAGCGUAGACGGAAGGUUAAGUCAGCGGUAAAAUGACGGUGCUCAACACCGGCCUGCCGUUGAAACUGGUCUUCUUGAGUGUGCGAGAAGUAUGCGGAAUGCGUGGUGUAGCGGUGAAAUGCAUAGAUAUCACGCAGAACUCCGAUUGCGAAGGCAGCAUACCGGCGCUCAACUGACGCUGAGGCACGAAAGCGUGGGGAUCGAACAGGAUUAGAUACCCGGGUAGUC